UGGCUGUGGUCUCGGGCGGAUGGGGAGAGGGGAGUGGCUGUGGUCUCGGGUGGAUGGGGAGAGGGGAGUGGCUGUGGUCUCGGGUGGAUGGGGAGAGGGGAGUGGCUGUGGUCUCGGGUGGAUGGGGAGAGGGGAGUGGCUGUGGUCUCGGGUGGAUGGGGAGAGGGGAGUGGCUGUGGUCUCGGGUGGAUGGGGAGAGGGGAGUGGCUGUGGUCUCGGGUGGAUGGGGAGAGGGGAGUGGCUGUGGUCUCGGGUGGAUGGGGAGAGGGGAGUGGCUGUGGUCUCGGGUGGAUGGGGAGAAGAGAGUGGCUGUGGUCUCGGGCGGAUGAGGCCCUCUGCGCCUUGGUGGGAGGAAGAGGAAUCAUCCUUGUUGCUGACCCCCUGCGACGGUGCUGGCUGGACGGGGUGUGCAUCGUGCCAGGAGCUGGUCCCUCAUUCAUCCUCACAGCAGCCCUCCCGGGCUCGCCCGCCGUGACUUUCACUCCCAUUUCACAGACGAGGACCCUGAGGUCCAGGGAGGCUGAGUGGGCUGCCCUCCCCAGCUGGAGCCUGGAGGGGAUUUGAACUCGGGCCUCAGGGCAGAGCCUGUCGCUGUCUGGGCUGGGCUGAGCUGACUCCCCAGGGCCGUCAGCUCCACUGCAUCCUGACCACCUGGGAACUGUGGUCAGCACUUUCCAGGCUCAAAGGCAUGGCUGCUUACAGCGUGCCCGAGGGACAGCCCAGCUGCAGCCCCUCCUCACCAGCGACCCCUGGGCCCUUUGCCUCGGGGCCAGGCAAGCGGAGAGCAGAGAGCAGUGUGUGAGGAGGGAAAAAAGCCGGACUACAGGGACCCCAGCCACCCGCCAGCCCCUACCCUGCAGCCUCUCCUGCCAGAGGCCGAGGCUCCUGAGCUGCCCCGUGCAGGGAGUGUGGCCAGGCGAGGCUCCGUGGAGUGCAGGAGCUGCGGCAGCAGGAGAGCCAGGAGGAGGCUGUGGCUCUUGCCCAGGCAAGCAGACAUGCCAGCUGUACGCAGUCCUGGGCCACGUAUCGUGUGUGGUCUUAGGAAAUGUGAGUGUACACUUGGUGCGUGCCUGUGUGUGCCCAUGUGCAUGUGUGUGUACACAGCCUCAGCCCACAUAUCAUGUGUGUGAAUUCAGGAAACGUGUGCGUGUGAGUGCAUGUGUGUACAUGCGCGUAGGUGUGCAUGUGCCUGUGUGUGUUCUCAUGUACACAGCAGAGCUGUGGGUCUCAGCCCCCGCUGCAGGCUGGAACCCCCUGGGGGUGUGGUGGAUCUGGAACUUGGGAAGCAGCCCGGCAGCGUCGCCCAGAGCUGAAGAUCCACUUACCCCGACCCAGCAGUUCCACUCCGGGGUGUCUGCACCACAGACAGGGGCAUGUGUGUUCACCAGAAAGUGCUCUUAGCGGCACCGUUCGUGAGCGCCAGCCUGGAAAUUGCUGCAAUGCGCGUUAAUCGUGCAGUGGGCACGUGAGCGGGAAUGGCCAUGCUGGGCCUCCCUGUCCAGGGGAGCCCUGACCCCCUCUCCCCUGCCCCGGGGAGAGGCUGAGGAGCAGUUUCCAGGCCUGGGAGGGAUCUGGCCAUCCUGGGAGUGACUGGGGAGGAUGGAGAGUGCUGGCUCAGCCCACAGUGACUGCACAGCUCUCCCCGCCGCCUCCUCCUCCAGGAACAACAAGGGCCCUUGUGUCCGCCUCCCCCAGGGACAGUGCCCCAGUGAGGAACAGAGCCUGGCCUGGGAGGUGGCCCCAGGGCAGGCCUGGGUCCCAGCGGUUAAGUCUGGCCUCAGCCCUGGGGCUCUGGGCGGGGCUGCAGUGAGGGGAUGGCGCUCUCGGUGCACCAGACUGGAACUUCUGCCCCCUCCCCGGAUAGCCAGCUCUGCCACCCGCUGAAAAGGGUCCCUGGGCUGUGGACAGGCACCGUAUCAUGCUCUGCUAUGUGGUCCUGAGGGGGACAACAGAUGUCCCUAGGGUCCGUCCAGGACUCACCUGCCUGUCUCUGUAUUUCUCUGCCAGGUCACCCCUACUUGGUGCACGUGAUUCACAGGUGGGAAGCCACGCCUCCCAAUCAGCAUAUUUCAUACUGUGGUCCUGGGAUUGGCUCAGGCAUGGCCAUGUGACCCAAGCUGGUCCAAUGAGAAUGUGCCCGGGACUUUUUCUGAAACCCCUGGGGAAGGGAGGCUUUGCCUCGCAGUUGCUCAGUUAAGAGGAGCUCUCUGAGGGCCAUUUCCAGGCCGCCUUCCCCCAUCAGGGACACAGGCAAAGUGCAAGAGCCCUGAGGAUUUCCAGGGCUACAAAAAUGUUUUAAUUUCUUUUAAAAUUAGAAGAAAAUAUGAGCUCUUAGGUCAAAGAAAUAUUAACCUAUUCAUCUUUGUACCAGUUGUAAAAUAGAAGCUUAAAGGUGAUUUUAUGGAGGAAGGAGCCCACGAAUGCAAAAGGGCCCAGGGCCCAUGGAAGCCGCGUGCAGCCCUGUCUCUGCCGCCGCACAGGAGGGGGCCUGAGAUGAGGAUGGUGAGCUGACGGCCAGGGCCGGGUGAGGGUGACGCCCGGGCGGUGCCAGCCAUCCACAAAGUCCUGCUGUGUGUGUACUGGCGUGGGCAACCUCAUCAGAGCCCCACGGCACCUCACCAUGAUCGUUUCACAGACGGGGAGAGCGGGACCCAGAAAGGUUAAGCAAUGCCACCAAAGCCACACUGCUUGAAAGUGGGAGAGCUGGGUCUUGAACAUUGAGUUUGGCUGCGGAGUCUGAGCUGGGGAACCGCUGAGCUGCUUUCUGUCUGAGGGCAGGGUUGAGCCUGGGCCUGUCCUGAUGCUGCCAGCCCCUUCUUAGGGUGCUCAGGUGAGGGCGUUGGUGAAGCCCCCUUUCUGUCACUUGCCUCCAAGACAGCCCAGAUGACACACAUGUGGAGCAGGGGCAGAGGAGAGCUGGGCAGUGGCUGCACCAGCCAGGAAGCAGAUCCUGCUCCGCCGGGAUAUCAGACUAUGUGGGCUCUGCAGCAUUCACGAUCCUACACUCCCACUCUGGGGUCUGGUGAGUCCUCCCCCUGCAGCAGGAGAGCAGGCUUUCCCAGAAGGUGAGCCCCACUGCUGUCCAGAUGUGUGAUGGCAGCUUCCUGUGAGGAACCAGACAUUGUCCAAUUGUGGGGGGUCUGGCUUCUUGGAGGUUUGCAGAGUGUGGCAGGUGUGGAAAAACUUGAGGCCAAGGAAAGUCCUUUCGAACAGGAUUAAGCAGGUGGCAUGUUGGUUGUGGUGAUUCCAGUACUGUGUGCGUGUGUGUGUGUGUGUGUGUCUGUGUGCAUGCACGUGUCUGCACAUAUGCAUUCAUGUAUGUAUGUCUGGGUCUGCGUGCGUGGGUCUCUGUGUGUGCAUGCAUAUGUGUAUAUGCAUUGUGUGCCCAUGUGUGUGCACAUCUGUGUGCACCUGUUGAGCCAGUUCUGUGAGUCCCCCUGAGGGCCAGGAGGCCGUGGGCAGGGCUGGUCCUGGAGAGCACUUUGUUUUCUUCUCCACACACUUUGGGUUCCCCCGCUGAGUGCACCCCCUGCAUUUGGCUGGCUGCUUUCACCCCAGCCCCGCUCCUCCUGUGCCCAAGAACCUCCUCCUCGUCUCCUCCUCUGUCACGCAGCUGGUGCAGCACACCAGGCCUGCACUGAAAUGCAUCGGGGAGCAAAAGGGAGGUGAAGUCAAACAUCCCAUCUGCUCCUGUCCACGUCUUCAGGGUCACUGCCAAGUUCUGACACUGCCGACUCCCCACAUUGAGGGCAAACAGCCCCCCCGAAUGCAAAUCUCACUCCUUGUUUGCAGUCACUGAGAAAUUCUUUCUGGAAGAUGUUUAUUGUUUCUCCUUCGCUCUGCAAAAUCAUCAGUGUAGAGAGGAUGUCUUAGGAGUUUCCAGAAUAAGGAAACGAAGGAGCAGCGACUCAUGUGGGUCCUCUUGGGAUGGCUGAAUGGAAUGCAGAGAGGGGAGGAGAGUGGAAAAUAGAGCAUGCAUUUUGAGAAAAUUUCGAGCAGUUUCUCAGAAGCCUUGAGCCUUGGAGGAGGCAGAAAGGGAAAUUAUUUUCAGCUUUGUGUAUGCUGUUUUCCGAGGAUAGCACUUGUCUAUCAGAGGCUGACUUCCUGAAGACUUUAUCUAUCAGAUUAGAAGCCUGUAUGAGAGCCUAGGUAAAAAUGCAAAUUCCUAGGUCCCAGCCCAGACCCUGGGAUCAGAAUAUGGAGUGUGAGAGACCCAGGUUCUUGCGUCUCUGCAGCCUCCCACGUGAUUCAGAUGGUCGCUAAAGUGGGAAGACCAGGCUCCUGAAAGAGCGGAUGGCAUCUGCGCAGUUGAAGCAUCGUUUGUCCAUUCACUCAUUCAGCAAAUGUCACUGAGUCUCUUGAGGUGCCAGCGCUGUCUCUGGUGCUGAACCAGGGCCCCGCGCUCACGGCAUUCACCUUCCAGUGGAGGAGACAGCUUGUAUCUGAGGGAGUCCCCCAGCAGUCAGAAGGGACACGACGGGUUAACUGAAGAGGGCUUAAUAAAGGGCAGGGGUCGGGACCGAGGCUGUUUAUGCCAAGAUGGCAAAACCCAAGAGGUCUGUGGGUGGCGACGUCUGAGACUCUAGCGGCCGCCUGGAGCUUCCGAGGCUCACCAAGAGCAAACCUGAAUUGCUUUCCAGGCCACAUGUCCAUGAACAGCACGUGCAGAAGCAACACCCGGAGGCCUCUCCACUCCCCAGGGGCUGGUGUGGGAGGCGGCCGUGGCACCAGGAGCUGCUGCAUCCUGCAAGUGCACUGCCCGGUUAUUAGUCAUGGAUGGCAUCCAGAAUUUCUCCAGCAUACUUGGGCCCACCAAAUAGUCACAGCAGCACAAACGGCCCAGCAAAUCAGAGGCCCUGAGGGACAGGACCCAGAGCUGGGAGGGUGCACAGGACAAGCCUGGCUCCCUGCGUGCCUGGAGGGUGGCUCCCUCGCCCUGGCCACUGUAACUCCGACUGCCUGUCCUGGAACACGUGCCUGCCAUGGUGUGAGGGUACACAGGGUAGCCUGAGCCCUACCUGAACUUCAGAGACCAGGGGCACGGGGGGAUCCCUGGGCUGAUAUCAGAAACAAGGGCAUCGGUGCUGGCGAGAAAGUAAGGGGAGGCCCCGGCCCCCUGCAAAGGAUCCCGUGAGCCCCCAGGUAGCUGCUCCCAGGACAUGGCACUUGGACCCCCUCAUCCUCACAGUCUCGGACCCGACUCCUCCACGUAGCCAACACCAUAGGAUGUCAACAGUGUCUUUAAAGCUAUGAGGCUCCCAAACAAACUCUCCUCUUCCCGCCCCAGUCGCCUCCAUUCCCAGGACAUACUCGGAGCUCUCAGGCAAGCGGGACUGCUGUGGUCCUCAGCCGACAGUCCCGGGGUGCAGCCAGAGACCACACUGCAGCCUCAGCCCUCUCCUGCCUGCCUCCACUCUAAUCUCCACUCCGCAUGGUGCUCUGUCCGACGAAGGAAGUGGCUCGCUGGUCAGGAGAAAGCCCACUCCAGGCCGUGCAUUCGGGAGCUUUCCAUGGAAGGAGCCGGGUACGCAGGUGGACGAGCAGGACAUCAGCCAGAGGCUGGAAGACACUCCAGGGUCUUGGCAGUGGGAGCCUCCAGGGCCCUGAAGGUUUAUUUGAGCCACUGUGCAAGGGGGCUGGUGCCUGGCUCCAUGUGGAGACCUCCCCUUCCCCCAGGACAGAGCGAGCUCCUUCCUAUGGGAUUUCCAAUAAAGCUCCUCACAACUUAGACGAGUUUCUAACCUAGGGGAUUCAUCAUUUCACUAAAAUGUAUUUACUGAGUACCUACUGCAUGCCACGUGCCAUGCCCGGCAUGAGAAACAGAGGAACAAGAAGGGCAGGACACAUCUGAGGAGCCUGUGUCCUGGGAGGCGGACAGGGUGGGAUCCAGGAGCAGGACCGGGCCUCAUGACUCCUGGCUGGGAGGUGGACAGGGCGGGAUCCAGGAGCGGAACGGGGCCUUGUGACUUCUGUUUGGGAGGCUUGAGCCACAGAGGAGGUUGGCGCCACCUUCUCUGGAGGGAAGGCAGAAGGACAGAAGUUUUGGAGGAAUCACGAGUUUGGUUUGGGCCGAUGCAGGUUCAGCAGCCAUGAGGGCCCUGGAUGGGUCCGUGUCUCCUCACAAAGGAGUUGUUUAUGACUCCAGUUAUGCACCCAUGAGUAGCAUGAGAGCUAUACCAAGGUCUGUUUCCCGGCUACUGUGAACCUGGGGGGUUUCUGGUGAACGGAGCCCACACUGACGCGGGGCAGAAACACACGUUCCAUCGUUCUGAGCUGAAAGGGGGCAGCCUGGACAGAGCACAUGGUGGGGAGAAGCCGCUGUUCCCUGCUGUGCCGGGCUGGGGUGACUGGCGGUUGAUAAACAGCCCCGCUCCUAACAAAGAGCCCUGGAGCGGGAGCCGGCACAGUCGACGUGCCAUUUAUCUUAAGGCUUUCAGGGAGGAAAAAUAUAUUUAAAAAAAAGCUCCUGGGAAAUGGACAAUUAUUAAUGAAACUGUUUUAUCAGUGACUUCACUCAUUUGCCAGGCAGGGAGAUGCUGACAUACAAGAGUGAGGCCAGGUGGGCU
rnacentral:lncRNA from 1 species